rnacentral:rRNA from 1 species
GUCCCGCAACGAGCGCAACCCUUGUCUUUAAUUGCCAGCAUUCAGUUGGGCACUUUAAAGAGACUGCCGGUGUUAAGCGGAGGAAGGUGGGGAUGACGUCAAGUCCUCAUGGCCUUUAUGCCCAGGGCUACACACGUGCUACAAUGGGUGGUACAAAGAGAUGCCAACUCGCGAGAGCGCGCCAAUCUCAGAAAGCCAUCCUCAGUUCGGAUUGGAGUCUGCAACUCGACUCCAUGAAGUUGGAAUCGCUAGUAAUCGCGGAUCAGCACGCCGCGGUGAAUACGUUCCCGGGCCUU